GCCCGGAUGGUGAAAUUGGUAGACACAAGGGACUUAAAAUCCCUCGGCGGCUUAACCCGCCAUGCCGGUUCGAUUCCGGCUCCGGGCACCA
rnacentral:tRNA from 1 species